rnacentral:tRNA from 1 species
UCAUGGUUAGCCAAUUGGUAGAGCGCUCCAGUGGAAAUGGAGAGGUCCCUGGUUGGAUACCAGGACCAGGCG